rnacentral:rRNA from 1 species
CAAGCGGUUCACAGCGCGUUGAAUACAUCGGUUCUCGUCCGAUCACCGAAGUUAAGCAACGUCGGGCGCGGUCAAUACUUGGAUGUGCGACCGCUUGGGAACACCGCGUGACGGUUUUU